rnacentral:rRNA from 1 species
GAGUUUGAUCCUGGCUCAGGACGAACGCUGGCGGCGCGCCUAACACAUGCAAGUCGAACGAGCGAGAGAGAGCUUGCUUUCUCAAGCGAGUGGCGAACGGGUGAGUAACGCGUGAGGAACCUGCCUCAAAGAGGGGGACAACAGUUGGAAACGACUGCUAAUACCGCAUAAGCCCACAGCUCGGCAUCGAGCAGAGGGAAAAGGAGCAAUCCGCUUUGAGAUGGCCUCGCGUCCGAUUAGCUAGUUGGUGAGGUAAUGGCCCACCAAGGCGACGAUCGGUAGCCGGACUGAGAGGUUGAACGGCCACAUUGGGACUGAGACACGGCCCAGACUCCUACGGGAGGCAGCAGUGGGGAAUAUUGCACAAUGGGGGAAACCCUGAUGCAGCGACGCCGCGUGGAGGAAGAAGGUCUUCGGAUUGUAAACUCCUGUUGUUGAGGAAGAUAAUGACGGUACUCAACAAGGAAGUGACGGCUAACUACGUGCCAGCAGCCGCGGUAAAACGUAGGUCACAAGCGUUGUCCGGAAUUACUGGGUGUAAAGGGAGCGCAGGCGGGAAGACAAGUUGGAAGUGAAAUCUAUGGGCUCAACCCAUAAACUGCUUUCAAAACUGUUUUCUUGAGUAGUGCAGAGGUAGGCGGAAUUCCCGGUGUAGCGGUGGAAUGCGUAGAUAUCGGGAGGAACACCAGUGGCGAAGGCGGCCUACUGGGCACCAACUGACGCUGAGGCUCGAAAGUGUGGGUAGCAAACAGGAUUAGAUACCCUGGUAGUCCACACCGUAAACGAUGAUUACUAGGUGUUGGAGGAUUGACCCCUUCAGCGCCGCAGUUAACACAAUAAGUAAUCCACCUGGGGAGUACGACCGCAAGGUUGAAACUCAAAGGAAUUGACGGGGGCCCGCACAAGCAGUGGAGUAUGUGGUUUAAUUCGACGCAACGCGAAGAACCUUACCAAGUCUUGACAUCCUGCGACGCACAUAGAAAUAUGUGUUUCCUUCGGGACGCAGAGACAGGUGGUGCAUGGUUGUCGUCAGCUCGUGUCGUGAGAUGUUGGGUUAAGUCCCGCAACGAGCGCAACCCUUACUGUCAGUUACUACGCAAGAGGACUCUGGCAGGACUGCCGUUGACAAAACGGAGGAAGGUGGGGAUGACGUCAAAUCAUCAUGCCCUUUAUGACUUGGGCUACACACGUACUACAAUGGCGUUAAACAAAGAGAAGCAAGACCGCGAGGUGGAGCAAAACUCAGACACAACGUCCCAGUUCGGACUGCAGGCUGCAACUCGCCUGCACGAAGUCGGAAUUGCUAGUAAUCGUGGAUCAGCAUGCCACGGUGAAUACGUUCCCGGGCCUUGUACACACCGCCCGUC